rnacentral:lncRNA from 1 species
CGGGACGCAGGGAGGAGGAGGGCGGCUCGGCCAGCACUGCCCGCGGCGCCGCGCUCCCGCACGCUCCCGGCCGGAAAGAGAAGUCAGAGGCGUUCGUUUCCCUUGGCAAAGGCUGCCUGGUUUUUCAGCAGCCAAGUUACAUCUGAGUCUGCUCGCCUGGCUGGCUCCAGGGUCCGUGUGCUCUGAGCAGCUGUUGGGAAGAAUCCUAGAAGAGGCAGGCCUUUGUGGCUGUGACUGCGUGUGCCUGCGGAUGGGCGUCCAGCACAGUGACUCACCAGGAGUGAGUCCCGCCCUGCCCAGCCCAGCCCGGCCUGACCGACCGCCCACAGCACCCAGAUUUGGUUGGUCUCUGGUUUACAAGCCCAGCAGCUAGGCCACGUGACCACACACUUGGUUUCUUUGUGGAAAACAGCCCUGAAAAGAAGGCCAGCUGCUGAUGCUAAAGAGAAAAAGGAUGUCUCUUGGUCAGAAAAAUACCAUUUAGGCGGAAUAAUAACAAGCGUCCAUCAGGGCCUCUGCUUUGCGGCCGGCGGGAGACGGAGCUUGCGCCGAUUGUAAAUCAGUGAUACAUUUGCAAAUGUUCUAGUGGGAUUGAGAAAAACAACAACCGAAAUGUGACAUAACUGUCCAGCAGAAGGGAAAUGGUGCAGGGUGAUUGGUGGCCUCCAUCCCAGGGGCUAUUCUGGGUCGUUCACGAUGAGAAAUGUGCAUCAUUCACGACAUGGGUUUCGUGUAGCCCUGGUCAGGGGGGCUUUGGGAACCGGAUGCGACCUACAGGCCUCCCCAGAGGAGCACGCAUACACACAAAAUGCUGCACGAGAUUUCAGGGAGCUCAUGGAGCUCCUCGAAGCCCAACCCAGGGGUCCCACACAUUGUCGGUGGGGGGUAGGGGGGCAGGUUCAUGUCCCUGGCUCACAGGGACAUUUUGAAAAAUGAAUUUAGCGAGUGCUGCACAUGGGGGAUUUCAGAGGGUCUCAGGUCGAGAGAUGAUGCAGUGUAGAGAUUGGGGGUGGGAGGGAGAGCAGGGGUGUUGAAUAGACGCUGGAUGCUGUGUCCAUCUUCCAGCAGAGGAAAGGGAGCCUGAGCUGUCAGGUCACCCAAGGGCACGGGAUCUGGUCGGUUCUGUUCACCUCUGGGACCACAGCGUCUGGUGUAGAGUGGGCACGGAAACAAAAUUUGUCAUUAAAUGAAAUAAGCGUCUCCCAAGCCCUGCAGCAGAGGGAAGUCGGCGUGGUUCCAGGUUAGAAGAUGGGAUGGGACUUCCCUUCGUGGCUCAGCGAUAACACACCCAACUAGUAUCCAUGAGGAUGUGGGUUUGAUCCCUGGCAUCUCUCAGCGGGUUAAGGAUCUGGGCUUGCCUUGAGCUGUGGUGUGGGUCGCAGAUGCGGCUCAGAUCUGGCAUUGCUGUGGCUGUGGCGUAGGCCGGUAGCUGCCUCUCAGAAGAUGAGACGGGCCUGUUGCCUCAGGUCCACGGAAGGCACAUCCUUCAUCUUCGCCUGGCCUGGUGGGUGAUGGUGAGAGAGAGACACAGAAAUGAGACUGAACUGGGUUUUUCUCAGCUGUCAGUUCCUGGAAACCCCGGGCCAGGGCCCCGCAGCUGGGCUUGGUGUCCCCAUGCGGCCUGAUUCAUUUCGAGCCGUACCUCGAGAGGCCUGGUGUCACCAGGCCCACGUAGUCACCCCGUGCUGGGCUUGUCCCUCGGCUGGUCCCCCAUUUCAGGCGCACUCCCUGCAGAGGCCUGGCCUGGGGUACAUCAGUCGGGUGUGGGAUGGGACAUCCUGUUCUGACUCAAAAAGGAACCCCCUCCUUUUGCUUUCCUGACUCACUUCCUCAUUUAGCUGCAGUUCUGCAGCAUGGCACGGGCGCUGGAACCAGACAGUUCUGGGCUUGCUUAGACAGUAGCUGUCUGACUUGGGCAGGAGAGCCGGCUCCUCUGAGCUUCAGUUUCCCCAUCUGUAAGGUGGCAGCAUCGCUCCUGCCUUGAUGGUUGGUGGAUAAUGAAUGAACUACACCUGCCCAGCACCUGCCACACAGCAGGUAGCCUCCUACAUGGGAACUUUGGGUGACAUUUUCCCAACCCGCAGGGGCCUCUUUUGACAGCUAAAGGUCAAGACUCAUGAUGACCUUGACUCCCACCCAGGGCAAUCAUAGCAUCACAGAUGAUGGGGGUGGGGACAGGGUAGGAGCCGGCAGAACCCUCCUUACCCACCAAUCGUUGGCACCAUGCGCGGCGGGGCACAGCUGCGAGUGCAGACACUGUGGGGAGGAAUGGAGGCUGCUCCCCACAGCUCAUCAGAUGUUUGCAUGUUUAGUCAGCUGUUGAGAAAACUCCCUGGAUGUGAACUCUGGUUUGUUUGUUGAAGUGCAGGUUUCCAAUAAAAAGGAUGCCUUGGGAUUAAACGGCACUUUACAAGGCGUUCUAUGACCAAAGGUGCCAGGUCGCUAGAAGCCUUUACAGCUCCGUGUUAGUUCCAGACAAUUGGUCAGACACUGCCCUCUUUGCUUGUGGGGCUGUCAUUGACCAGGACAUGCCACUCCCUUGCUCACAGACCCCCGCUGGCUCCCCGGCACCCACAGAGUUAAGUCAACGCGCUACUUUGAAUCCUGUGCUGCUCAGGCUCCCCUCUUGCCUCUCUGACACAGUUUCCUUUAACGGUUCCCAAGCCCAGGCUACAGCCUGAACUUGGCCUUGAUCUUAUCCACCUGCCAGAUUUUGCGCCUGCUGGUCCAGCAGCUUCUUAUGCCCUUUCCCUCUUGUCUUCUUAUCUAGACCCUGCUCACCCUGCACGUCUCAGCCAGCCUGUUAACCUUGGCCCUGAACCUCUCGUUGGAUCCCUAAUCAGAAUCAUUGCUCAAUUCUCAAGGUUCCGAGAGCUUCUCAUGUGCCGCUCCAUAUGCGCACGUAACAGCCUCAGUCAGGGUCUGUGGCCACGCAGACCAUCUUCAUAGCCCGCAGCCUGCACCUGGCUCAGCCCUGGGCAGGUCCAGAUGUUAAAAGUCCAAUGGUCUUGGACUUGACUCCUUAUCUCUUAACUACUUGGACCUUGGGCAUAGCACGAAACUCCCCCAUCUCCGUGUCCUCAUCUGGGAAAUGGAAAUGAAUAUUACGGCCUGUUGCUCAAGUGUAAAAAAUAAUUUUACAAUUAACUUAGCAAGUGCUGUUGAAAUGAAGUGCUGAGCUUCUCAGGGGGAGUGUUUGUUUCUCACAGGGAUGGCUGUUUCUAUAGGUCUGUAUGAAUGACUCUCUUGGUUUGGGGAUUUUGUUUCUUUUUUAAAAAAAUAGCUCUAUUGAG